rnacentral:rRNA from 1 species
AACGAACGCUGGCGGCAUGCCUAACACAUGCAAGUCGAACGAUGGCUUCGGCCAUAGUGGCGCACGGGUGAGUAACACGUGGGAAUCUACCUGACAGUGGGGAAUAACAGAGGGAAACUUCUGCUAAUACCGCAUACGCCCCUUCGGGGGGAAAGAUUUAUCGCUGACAGAUGAGCCCGCGUCCGAUUAGGUAGUUGGUGGGGUAAAGGCCUACCAAGCCUUCGAUCGGUAGCUGGUCUGAGAGGAUGAUCAGCCACACUGGGACUGAGACACGGCCCAGACUCCUACGGGAGGCAGCAGUGGGGAAUAUUGGACAAUGGGCGCAAGCCUGAUCCAGCAAUGCCGCGUGAAUGAUGAAGGCCUUAGGGUUGUAAAGUUCUUUCGGGUGGGACGAUGAUGACGGUACCACCAGAAGAAGCCCCGGCUAACUUCGUGCCAGCAGCCGCCGUAA